rnacentral:rRNA from 1 species
GACGAACGCUGGCGGCGUGCUUAACACAUGCAAGUCGAACGGAAAGGUCUCUUCGGAGAUACUCGAGUGGCGAACGGGUGAGUAACACGUGGGUGAUCUACCCUGCACUUCGGGAUAAGCCUGGGAAACUGGGUCUAAUACCGGAUAGGACCACGGGAUGCAUGUCCUGUGGUGGAAAGCGUUUAGCGGUGUGGGAUGGGCCCGCGGCCUAGCAGCUUGUUGGUGGGGUGAUGGCCUACCAAGGCGACGACGGGUAGCCGGCCUGAGAGGGUGUCCGGCCACGCUGGGACUGAGAUACGGCCCAGACUCCUACGGGAGGCAGCAGUGGGGGAUAUUGCACAAUGGGCGCAAGCCUGAUGCAGCGACGCCGCGUGGGGGAUGACGGCCUCGGUUGUAA